AGUAGUUUGAUCCUGGCUCAGGACGACGCUGGCGGCGUGCUUAACACAUGCAAGUCACGGGGGUAGCAAUACCAACCGGCGAACGGGUGCGUAACACGUGAGCAAUCUGCCGAUGUCUGGGGGAUAGCCGGCCCAACGGCCGGGUAAUACCGCAUACGCUUGCUUUGAGGAGUCUCGAGGCAAGGAAACCUCCGGGGGACAUCGAGGAGCUCGCGGCCUAUCAGCUAGUUGGCGGGGUAAUGGCCCACCAAGGCGAUGACGGGUAGCUGGUCUGAGAGGAUGGCCAGCCACAUUGGGACUGAGAAACGGCCCAGACUCCUACGGGAGGCAGCAGUGGGGAAUCUUGCGCAAUGGCCGAAAGGCUGACGCAGCGACGCCGCGUGUGGGAGGACGCCCUUCGGGGUGUAAACCACUGUUGCCCGGGACGAACAUCCUCUUUCGAGAGGACUGACGGUACCGGGUGAGGAAGCACCGGCUAACUCCGUG
rnacentral:rRNA from 1 species